UCCGCCCUGGGCUGCCCACUGAUCUCUCUCUUUCUCUUUCUCUACUACAGGCAGCAGGAGACAGAGGACUGGCUUCCUUCAGGGCCCGCAGCUGGAGGGAAAGAAAAUUCAGUGCUGCCUUUGUGACAUAACGGAUGGGUGAUUUCCACGGCCCUCUGCUUGGAAUCACCGGAACGAGCCAUUGCACUGUGGACUGAGACCGGAAUGCUGUGUUGGUGACGCCCAGACCAUUCAUUACAUUUCAAUAGUGCUUCCCCAGUUAUUAUGAUAACCCAGCCAUUCCCCCACCGGGAGGAGGGAAGAGAAGGAACCAGAUAUUUAUUGAUUAGCUAUAAUGGCCAAGCAACACGCGUAGUUGUUUACGUAUAUUUUAUUUAAGCUAAUGGGUGUGUAUUCUACUACUCAUUUCUCAGAUGCAGAAGGUACACCUCGGAGAGGCAAGGUUACAAUCCCAUCGCCAGUGAGGGGAGGAGCCUACCUUUGAAUCCAGGUCUGUCUCAAUUCACAGUUGAGCAUUAAUAAAAACGUGCUAGCAGUGAAGGGAAAGAGGCAGGCGAUUCUGGUCAAAUCUGCUCUGGAAACCCGGUGAAAAGGGCCGGGGGGCCGCGUGUCUUGGCAUGGCCUAAGAGAUGCUCCCCCUGGAGAUGUGGAGUAGACAAGGUGAUUUCUUGGGGUCCAUGCCAACCCCGUGAGCCUAGAUCCCUAAUAUUUUCAGAAAAGAUUUUUCGAUAAUAAACACUUUGGACUGUGAAGCACA